rnacentral:rRNA from 1 species
GCGAGGUGGUGCUAAUCCUAGAAAGUUCUUCGUAGUCCGGAUUGGAGUCUGCAACUCGACUCCAUGAAGUCGGAAUCGCUAGUAAUCGCGGAUCAGCAUGCCGCGGUGAAUACGUUCUCGGGUCUUGUACACACCGCCCGUCACGGCAUGGAAGUGGAUUGCACCAGAAGUAGAUAGUCUAACCUUAGGGAGGGCGUUUACCACGGUGUGCUUCAUGACUGGGGUGAAGUCGUAACAAGGUAGCCGUAGGGGAACCUGUGGCUGGAUCACCUCCUU